AUCAUGGAGGACACACGAGGAUUAAAGCAGGACCGCGCAAAUAUGUCUGUUUCCUCACUCUGGAUCCAAACACAGCACACACUCAACUCAUUCUGUCUGAGGAAAACAGAGAGGUGAAGUGGGUGAGAGGGAAUCAGCCGUAUCCUGAUCAUCCAGACAGAUUUGAUCAUCAUCCUCAGGUGUUGUGCAGAGAGAGUGUGUGUGGACGCUGUUACUGGGAGAUUGACUGGAGUGGGGAUAGUGAUGUGCGGAUAUCAGUGUCAUAUAAGAGCAUCAGGAGGAAGGGAGGAGGUGCUGAGGGUGUGUUUGGAUUUAAUGCUCAGUCCUGGAGUUUACUCUGCUCUUUCUUCAGUUUCUCAUUCUGGCACAAUCACAUAGAGACUCAUCUCCCAAUGGAGGCGUUCAGCAUGAGAAUAGGAGUGUUUGUGGAUCACAGUGCAGGAACUCUGAUCUUCUACAGCAUCUAUAGAGACAAAAUGAGCAUCAUCCACUCAGUCCAGACCACAUUCACUGAGCCGCUCUGCCCUGGGUUUAGAAUUUAUCCUGGAUCAUCAGUGAAACUGAGCUGAAGACUGACGAGAGAUUUACCCAGAAUCUUCUGUAGGAGCAUUUAGCAGCCCCAGGUGAAAAAAAAUAAUAAUUAAAUGCAUUAUAAAAAUCAC